CGUUCUCUUCCUCCUCCCUAUCUCGCGAGAAAAGAUGGAAAAGAAGCUUCCUUCUCACGUUCCCUUCUGCCACCCUUCAUUUAGAAAUUCCGUCCUUUUUUCCCGAUUUCUUGCUUGUCCGACUGUACAAACGUCACUGAUUUUCCCGUGGCAACUGUUCGACCUCACUCGGUCCAGAAGAUCUACUUUCCACGAUCUUCGGCGCCUUCCCAUGCAUUCUCCGGCGUUGGCCAUCACGUUAACCAUUACGUGGCUGGAGCUGCGUAAUAUGAGGAGGGAUGUCGGCAAGUUUUGAACAAGAAAUCUUUCAGUGGAUCCGAGUUCAGAUUUCCUCAAGCUAAGAAGAUUAAGCAAAGUUCACCAAUAUAUUAAAAACCGCCUUCUGGAUACUAAAUAUGCUUUUGCAUUCUUCUUCAACAUGUUUGGGUCCAAGCAAGAGGAAUUUGCAGAGCUGAUCUUGGUGGAUGGAAAUGUGUUGUUUUGGAGAAACCUUUUGGUAAGGAUCAACAAUCUGCAGUACUUAGAUUGGAGAGUUGUUUGAGGAGCCACAGGAUUAGCGCAUUGAACAUUAGUUGGGAAAGGAAACUUGUGCAAAACUUGGUGGUAAAUGUAUAUAUACUGAAUUUCUUCUGGCUUGAUUUAUGCAUUGUGCCUAAUCCCCUCUUCAUUUGACUUAUAUUGGUAUUUGGUAGUUAGUUGUUCGAUUUGCAAAUUGACUUUUCUUGCUUCUUUGGAACCGCGACAACAUUGACAAUGUAUAUUUUCUAGACUUUUUCUUUUUAGUGACACUACUGGUCUUUUUUUCAAUUGUGAUUCUCAUUCUCACGCUUUGGUUUUUUUGGUGUUGGUUUUGAAAUGGUCAUGCCUUUCUUCUAUGAAGAGGAUGGUCAUCAGGAGUGCUGCAAGUGAGGAAGGUUAGACUCUUGAGUAGGGAACUUAGGGCCUCACAUCAUGGAUUAUUGGGCAGAGAAUGGAUCAGUCACCACCCAUCUGAUUGAUGACAAAAGAAAUUGUGUAAGAUGCAAGGAGGAAUGUUUUUGAAGGGUGUUGAAGAUAUACGAGUUCAAGCUGAUAUGUCCAAUUGUGGCAUUAGGAGGGAAAAGACUGGUUCUAGCAGUGAAAUUUCUAUUCAAUGUGUUAAUGCUUAGUAACAUUCCUUUAAAAUAUAAAAAAAAUUGGUUUCAUUAAUACAUGUCUUUGGACAUGGCCGCCGUCGUUUCUUUCCUAUUAAAAAAGAAACUGAAAAGAAUGAUAUGUGCAAUUGUGACUUUAGGAGGACAAGGACCGGUUUUGACAGUGAAAUUUUUAUUCAUUUUAA